UAGACGGGUAUGAAACAUCUGAACGAGUUCUAAGUACAUUCGUUAUAACAGAAGACACGAAAUGGUAUAACACGGUAAGUACUAUGCUUACCUAAGAGGUAUCGUGUAUGAAGCUAUUAGCUAAUUGGAAUUUACGCAUCUAAUAAGACACAACCUGCACGCGUAUAGUAACAACAAAACCACGUUUCAAUAUGUUACAAUAAAACUAGGGACGUCGUUUUUGUGGCGAUUAAUCUGCGUCGAAUCUUCGAGCGUCCCAUUGUUAUGAUUGUAAUCCGGGUCCGAUAUGGAAAUGACGUGCUAUUAACGUUUAAUGCGACAUUGUGUGUGUAUCAUUGAGUGUGGACAUUAGUUUUUCCGAUCACGGACGGGAUGUCAGGCCCUGUAUAAAAGGAUGAGUGGAGCACUGUCGGGCACAUUGUCGCAGCUGUCGGCAGCAAUCCCAUCUAGUGACUCCUAGAUCAGGACUUGGUGCUUCCUUGUUGUAAACAAAACAAAACAUAUCCAACAUGUACAAAUUGGUGUUGAUGAUGACCAUCGCGCUGGCCGUGCUGGGCGGCGCGCUGGCCAAGCCGCAGGUGCUGGUCGACACGUACGGGUACUACGCGGCCCCCGCAUACGUCGCUUCAUACAGCUCCCCUUACGCCUACUCCUACCCCUACGCCUACGCAUACGCCUACCCUUACUACUACUAGCCCUUGUAACCCCACCGUCAAUAGGGUAGAUGACGAGAUGACCAGCUAGUCACAUGAGAUACUAUUUCUCUUUACGAAAGUAGGACGUCAUCGACAAACAUAGUCAGAAAGUUCAUAGUAAAUCGAAUAGAAAAAAUGAGGUAUAUUAUGGUUAUUUUACACUGGCUUAAAUUAAAUUGUAUCUUAGACCCAGUCAUCUACCCAAUUCCCAAAUAGCGGUCUUAAUUGGAUACGUUUAAGCAUAUUAUUAUUGUAUUGUAUUUUAUCGUAGGUUAAAGGAUGGAGGAGAAGUUACGUAAUGCAUAUUGUGAUUUAAUAAGUUAAUACUGUUUAGUAUUAACACAACAGAUGUCUUGUAAAUGUGUUCCGCAUAUCGUGAUACUGAAGUAGUUACUUAUUAUAAUAUAUAAAGCGUUGAUAAAUAAAAUUAUUCUUAUAUGAA